CCUGAAAGGGGCACAAAAGCAUAAUCCAUGAACACUUCUAUGUUUUUAAAGAAACUGAGGGUACAAGACUCUUGUUUUCAUGGAGUUUUCUCACAAAUGCUCGGAAAUCUCAUCACAAGAUUCUAUUCUUGGACCAUAAUCUGACACUAGAUAACUGAAGUUUCAUAUACUCAAAUAAAAAUAUCUCAUCUUGAUAAUUUCUGAAUUUAUGAUUUAACUGUCUAUAAACUGUAAUUUAAAAUAUUUGACCUUUUCCAACUUUUGGCUUUAUAUGCUUCCAUCCUGUUUUCUCAAGAAGUUUAGAUAUUCUUACUAACAUCUUUUUAGGCAUGAAUAUAAAACAUAAUUUAUUUUUGUUCUAAGUUUGUAUAAUCAUCUUUACUACCUACACAAAAAUUUAUAACUGUGUUCUUGAUUCAUUCUGUGAUUUUUAUAAUAGCCAUUUUAUCUCAUACAGUUAUAAAAAGAAUGCUAUGUGGUUGUCAACCAUUCACCAUGACCAGCCUACGAAGCCACUGGACAGAGCUGUCUUCUGGAUUGAGUUUGUCAUGCGCCACAAAGGGGCCAAGCACCUGAGAUCACUUGGACAUAACCUUCCCUGGUACCAGUACCACUCUCUGGAUGUGAUUGGAUUCCUGCUCACCUGUGUGGCAGUCACUGUAGUCCUUGCUCUAAAGUGCUUUUUAUUUGUUUAUCGAUUCUUUGUAAAGAAGGAAAAGAAAACAAAGAAUGAGUAGAGCUCAAUGAUAAUGCAUCACAUGAAUGAAAUUUGUUCAUCAUUUUAAGUUAUGAACCACCUUCUAAAAACUCAUUAAUAACUUUACAGAAGCAUAGCUUCUUUGUAAUUUUGUACC
rnacentral:lncRNA from 1 species